rnacentral:rRNA from 1 species
UACGGGGUGUGCAAGCGUUAUCCGGAAUCACUGGGUUUAAAGGGUGCGUAGGCGGUCAGAUAAGUCAGUUGUGAAAUACCCCGGCUUAACCGGCGGAACUGCGAUUGAUACUGUUUGACUUGAAUCAGGUUGAGGUAGGCGGAAUGUGGCAUGUAGCGGUGAAAUGCUUAGAUAUGCCAUAGAACACCGAUUGCGAAGGCAGCUUGCUGGACCUGUAUUGACGCUGAGGCACGAAAGCGUGGGGAGCAAACAGG